rnacentral:rRNA from 1 species
GACGAACGCUGGCGGCGUGCUUAACACAUGCAAGUCGAACGGUGACGGAGAGCUUGCUCUCCUGAUCAGUGGCGAACGGGUGAGUAACACGUGGGCAACCUGCCCCCGACUUCGGGAUAACGCUUCGAAAGAGGUGCUAAUACCGAAUACGCACGCCGUUGGCAUCCACGGUGUUGGAAAGCUUUUCGGUCUGGGAUGGGACCGCGGCCUAACAGCUUGUUGGUGAGGUAAUGGCUCACCAAGGCGACGACGGGUAGCCGGCCUGAGAGGGCGAACGGCCACACUGGGACUGAGACACGGCCCAGACUCCUACGGGAGGCAGCAGUGGGGAAUAUUGCGCAAUGGGCGAAAGCCUGACGCAGCAACGCCGCGUGGGGGAUGAAGGCCUUCGGGUUGUAAACCUCUUUCAGCAGGGAAGAAGCGAAAGUGACGGUACCUGCAGAAGAAGCACCGGCUAACUACGUGCCAGCAGCCGCCGUAA